AAUGAACGUGUCAGGGAAAGUGCCCAAACCCUUGCAAGAGGGAAAGAACGUGAGCGGGAGGGGAAAGAAGCAGCUCGUGCCAAGAUGGUUAAAACAACGCUAUUCAUACAGCAAAGAACUGGAAAGCUCCCAGACAAGAAAACCGAAUCUUGGCAGGUUCUCGCAGAUGACGGUGGCAGAACCGGUAUUCGAACUCAGGUCUUGAGUGAGCCCUUGUCCUCUUUCUGCUGGACCGCACUGCUUCUGCCUCACGGCCUCACAGGGGAUGGGGUGGUACCUGCGGCUUCUGUAUCUGAGCCCAUUCACUGCCCGGCCACCAGAUAGAUCGCAGCGUCCACCUGCCCUUGUCCCCCGUGUCCCCCACCCCCGGGGACCAUGCCAUGCCAGCUCUUCCCUUCCUCCUCUGGGAGGACGGCACUGGGCCCAGGCUCUGCCGGACCUAGGGGGCGGCUCCACCGGAACCCGCGAGAAGAGCUGAGCACGUACAAGCCAUUUUCUCGGAUGAGUUAUAAUUUUCCUUCAUUUCCCCUUCAAAACACACUAAUUAAACGGACAUUGUUGAGGCGGUCAA